GAAAUGCGAUAAGUAAUGUGAAUUGCAGAAUUCAGUGAAUCAUCGAAUCUUUGAACGCACAUUGCGCCCGCCAGUAUUCUGGCGGGCAUGCCUGUUCGAGCGUCAUUUCAACCAUCAAGCCCCCGGCUUGUGUUGGGGACCUGCGGCUGCCCGCAGGCCCUGAAAAACAGUGGCGGGCUCGCUGUCACACCGAGCGUAGUAGCAUACAUUCUCCCUCAGGGCGUGCUGCGGGUUCCGGCCGUUAAACGACCUUCAUAACCCAAGGUUGACCUCGGAUCAGGUAGGAAGACCCGCUGAACUUAAGU
rnacentral:misc_RNA from 1 species